UACGAAGGGGGCUAGCGUUGUUCGGAAUUCCUGGGCGUAAAGCGCGCGCCGGCGGUCCAUCAAGUCAGGGGUGAAAGCCCAGAGCUCAACCCUGGAACUGCCCUUGAAACUGGUGACCUUGAGUACGGGAGAGGUGAGUGGAAUUCCCAGUGUAGAGGUGAAAUUCGUAGAUAUUGGGAAGAACACCGGUGGCGAAGGCGGCUCACUGGCCCGUAACUGACGCUCAGGCGCGAUAGCGUGGGGAUCAAACAGG
rnacentral:rRNA from 1 species